AUUGAACGCUGGCGGCAGGCCUAACACAUGCAAGUCGAGCGAGCGGCGGACGGGUGAGUACUGUCUGGGAAACUGCCUGAUGGAGGCGGAUAACUACUGGAAACGGUAGCUAAUCCCGCAUACCAUCAGAUGUGCCCAGAUGGGAUUAGCUAGUAGGUGGGGUAAUGGCUCACCUAGGCGACGAGCCCUAGCUGGUCUGAGAGGAUGACCAGCAACACUGGGACUGAGACACGGUCCAGACUCCUACGGGAGGCAGCAGGGGGGAAUAUUGCACAAUGGGCGUAAGCCGGAGGGAGCCAGGCCGCGUGUGUGAAGAAGGCCUGCGGGUUGUAAAGCACUUUCAGCGGGGAGGCGUUACCCGAAGAAGAAGCAACGGCUAACUACGUGCCAGCAGCCGCGGUAAUAC
rnacentral:rRNA from 1 species